GAUGAACGCUGGCGGCGUGCCUAACACAUGCAAGUCGAGCGAACGGACGAGAAGCUUGCUUCUCUGAUGUUAGCGGCGGACGGGUGAGUAGCACGUGGAUAACCUACCUAUAAGACUGGGAUAACUUCGGGAAACCGGAGCUAAUACCGGAUAAUAUUUUGAACCGCAUGGUUCAAAAGUGAAAGACGGUCUUGCUGUCACUUAUAGAUGGAUCCGCGCUGCAUUAGCUAGUUGGUAAGGUAACGGCUUACCAAGGCAACGAUGCAUAGCCGACCUGAGAGGGUGAUCGGCCACACUGGAACUGAGACACGGUCCAGACUCCUACGGGGGGCAGCAGUAGGGAAUCUUCCGCAAUGGGCGAAAGCCUGACGGAGCAACGCCGCGUGAGUGAUGAAGGUCUUCGGAUCGUAAAACUCUGUUAUUAGGGAAGAACAUAUGUGUAAGUAACUGUGCACAUCUUGACGGUACCUAAUCAGAAAGCCACGGCUAACUACGUG
rnacentral:rRNA from 1 species